rfam:Pimelobacter simplex strain VKM Ac-2033D, complete genome.
UUGGCUCCGGUUCACGUCCGCAACCCGUGUGACGACCCGGACC